AUGAGAUUUUACUUACCGACGAUGAAGUGAACAUCGAGUAUGAGUUCCCCCAGAACGAGGAUACAAUCCAGGACGUUGAGUCCGACGAUGACCAGCAGCACGUGUUUACUGUACCAUGGCAUUAGACAAGCAAAUGCAGAUGUUUGAUCCAAAAAAGUUCUUAACAAGAUGGAAGCUACAAGUGAAUAUUUGAGAAACAACUAGUACGGGCCUUUGGAUUCCAGUCAAACGCUUCCAAAACGUAAAUCACCUCAGAUGAUGUUGUCAUUGCUCAUUCUCGACAAAAGAUGGGACAACAGUGUGUCCAGUGAUAAUUUAUGACUGAUGUUCCGGAAAAUUAAAAAUGGUUUAUACUGUA